rnacentral:rRNA from 1 species
CCUACGGGGGGCAGCAGUGGGGAAUAUUGGACAAUGGGCGAAAGCCUGAUCCAGCCAUGCCGCGUGUGUGAAGAAGGCCUUCGGGUUGUAAAGCACUUUCAGUGGGGAAGAAAGCCUUGGGGCUAAUACCCUCGAGGAAGGACAUCACCCACAGAAGAAGCACCGGCUAACUCCGGGCCAGCAGCCGCGGUAAUACGGAGGGUGCGAGCGUUAAUCGGAAUUACUGGGCGUAAAGCGCGCGUAGGCGGUCUGAUAAGCCGGUUGUGAAAGCCCCGGGCUCAACCUGGGAACGGCAUCCGGAACUGUCAGGCUAGAGUGCAGGAGAGGAAGGUAGAAUUCCCGGUGUAGCGGUGAAAUGCGUAGAGAUCGGGAGGAAUACCAGUGGCGAAGGCGGCCUUCUGGACUGACACUGACGCUGAGGUGCGAAAGCGUGGGUAGCAAACAGGAUUAGAUACCCGAGUAGUC